rnacentral:rRNA from 1 species
GACGAACGCUGGCGGCGUGCUUAACACAUGCAAGUCGAACGGAAAGGCCCUGCUUUUGUGGGGUGCUCGAGUGGCGAACGGGUGAGUAACACGUGAGUAACCUGCCCUUGACUUUGGGAUAACUUCAGGAAACUGGGGCUAAUACCGGAUAGGAGCUCCUGCUGCAUGGUGGGGGUUGGAAAGUUUCGGCGGUUGGGGAUGGACUCGCGGCUUAUCAGCUUGUUGGUGGGGUAGUGGCUUACCAAGGCUUUGAAGGGUAGCCGGCCUGAGAGGGUGACCGGCCACAUUGGGACUGAGAUACGGCCCAGACUCCUACGGGAGGCAGCAGGGGGGAAUAUUGCACAAUGGGCGGAAGCCUGAUGCAGCAACGCCGCGUGCGGGAUGACGGCCUUCGGGUUGUAAACCGCUUUCGCCUGUGACGAAGCGUGAGUGACGGUAAUGGGUAAAGAAGCACCGGCUAACUACGUG